rnacentral:rRNA from 1 species
GACGAACCGUGCGAACGUUGUUCGGAUUCACUGGGCUUAAAGGGCGCGCAGGCGGCUUGCCAAGUCAGGGGUGAAAUCUUUCGGCUUAACCGGAAAAGUGCUUCUGAUACUGGCGGGCUGGAGGGAGGUAGGGGCAGAUGGAACUUCCGGUGGAGCGGUGAAAUGCGUAGAUAUCGGAAGGAACGCCGGUGGCGAAAGCGAUCUGCUGGACCUCUUCUGACGCUGAGGCGCGAAAGCCAGGGGAGCAAACGGG